CCGGAUGUGCCUGGGUAGUCGUGCUGGCAGUCGGGGCUCUGAGGUUUGGGCGUUCUGGGGGUGCUGGCAGCCCGGGCGGAUGGCGCAGGGCUGGGCUGGCUUCUCUGAGGAGGAGCUGAGGCGACUGAAGCAGAGUAAAGAUCCAUUCGAACCACAGCGGCGUCCCCCUGUGAAGAAAAGUCGACAACAGCUUCAGCGAGAAAAGGCCCUUCAGGAGCAAAGCCAAAAACUCGGACUGCGAGAUGGAUCGACCAGAUUGCCUCCUGAGCAGCAGCUCUCUGCACCACAACAGAGAUUUCAUCACCAGGAGGCGCCCCCCCACGCCCUCGCUGCGCCUGGUUCUCUUACACUCACCGCUCCUGUUGGUAAUGGAAACCCACAGGGCACGGAACGUCACCCAAGGGAGCUGGGACUGGAGAAUUCCCGUGAUGGUCACAUGAGUGCCGAGGUUGUACCUCCAAGGCCAGAUUGCAAAUUGGAGAAAAAGAAAGUGGAAUUGCAAGAAAAGUCUCGUUGGGAAGUCCUCCAACAAGAACAACGGCUAAUGGAAGAGAAAAAUAAACGUAAGAAAGCUCUUUUGGCUAAAGCUAUUGCAGAAAGAUCUAAAAGAACUCAGGCAGAGACCGUGAAACUGAAGAGAAUCCAGAAGGAGUUACAGGCCUUAGAUGACAUGGUGUCAGCUGACAUUGGCAUCCUCAGGAACCGGAUUGACCAGGCCAGUCUGGACUAUUCAAAUGCUCAGAAGCGGUUUGACCGGGCGGAAGCCGAGUAUGUUACAGCCAAGCUUGACCUACAGCGCAAGACUGACAUUAAAGAGCAGCUCACCGAGCACCUUUGUACGAUCAUACAGCAAAAUGAGCUCCGCAAGGCCAGGAAGCUGGAGGAGCUGAUGCAGCAGCUGGAUGUCCAGGCUGACGAGGAGGCCUUGGAGCUGGACGUGGAGGUGGAGAGGCUGCUGCACGAACAAGAGGCAGAAGCAGGGAAACAGAAGGUUCAUGGAGAGCCUUCAGGGGAGACUGUGACACUGGGACCUGCUCAGAACCAGAAGCAUCAAGCGCCAGCUGCUUGCCCAGAGGCGGAUGAACAAGGAAUAAACAGAUCUGAUGCAUUUAUAAUGUGGCCUCUCGUUUACCUUUCCGAAGACUUUGCAGUUUGGUGUGUGUCCUGAAGCAGCGUGGCAGUAGUGCGGCCCGAGUCUCCACGUGGCAGAUACACUCGUCUUCUGUACGCACCCGUUAGGGAAAAUUCAUCAGAGGACACAGCAAGAAGAUGGUACUUUGUUACACAGCCUGAACUGACUGAUACAGAUUCUGGCAGCCAGAAGCAGGAUGCGGCUACAACAGCUUCCACUCAGCAGCUCCGGAAGUCUCUGCUCAUUCAAGCAUCUGAAGUCUGA